AUUAAAAUAUUUUUUAUACUUUCUUUACUGACAGAUUAUAAAUUGAUUUUUAUCUCCAUAAUUUAUUCUUUAUUCAGAUUAAAGGGGCUGCAGUUUGUCAGCGAUCAGCUGUGCCUCUCUGGUCUCAUCUCUGAAGUCCAACCCCUCCCAUCUGAAAGAGCUGGAGCUGUAUAAGAAUAACCUGCAGGAUUCAGAUGUGAAGCUGCUGUCUGAUCUUGUGGAGAGUCCAGACUGUAGACUUCAGACUGUGAGAUGGAAGUGAUCUUGAGUAUGAGUGGUGAGAAAGGUGGUUUUGUUGAGAGGAUCACACAUCAUUGAAAGAGGAAUCACAACCAGUGAAGACGACUCUUAGUCUCUGUGCUAAGCUAACUGACGCCUUACUUUAGCUCUAUAUUUGGCAUACAGAUAUUAAUCUUCUCAGAAACUCGUAAAACAAUUUCUUUAAUAAAAAAAAUAUGUGUAUGUAUGUAGAAAUAUAUUGUGACUGAAGGUUCCAAGUUUAAGUUGAGCUUAAUCAGCAGAUAAAUGGCAGUUUUGUCAUCACUGAACGACAGUUUAAAGUGACCAAAACCUUUUCUGAAAUAGUAAAAUAUAACAUAGAGUCAUAAAGUCAGGAAACUGAGGGGCCGUCCACAUUCGGAACAAUAACUGUCAGUGAUGACCUGUUUGUUGCACAUAGAAAAAAAAAGAAAACCAGAAGGAGAAAAGGGGAGAAUCUAACACAGUUACGAGAGUUGCCGCCUUUUGAAGACUAACUUUACUUAUACUAUCAGAGGACUUCAGAGAGCCCAUCAUCACUUUAUGUGUAAUUUACAGCCUGAUAUGUUAUUUAUGUGUUUAAUACAUCAAAUCACUCUGAAAGUGAUCCAGAGGUGGUACACACAUCCCUUACUCGAGUUCAAGGACAGAUACUACUCUGAAAUGUAAUCAAAUUAUAAAAGUAAAAAGUACUCUCUCUGCUGUUUCUGUAUGAAACCAACUGGAACUUCAGAUACAGUCUUGUCUCCCUCUCUGAAAAUACUCAAGUACAAGUCAGAUUUAAGAAGUAAUUUAUCAUUACUCACAGAAGAAUCACAGCAGCAGCCUGCACAUGCUUUUGCUGCUGCAGCAAAAUGUCUAAAAUAAAACAGCCACUAAAACUGCA